rnacentral:rRNA from 1 species
GAUGAACGCUGGCGGCGUGCCUAAUACAUGCAAGUCGAGCGAACGGACGAGAAGCUUGCUUCUCUGAUGUUAGCGGCGGACGGGUGAGUAACACGUGGAUAACCUACCUAUAAGACUGGGAUAACUUCGGGAAACCGGAGCUAAUACCGGAUAAUAUUUUGAACCGCAUGGUUCAAAAGUGAAAGACGGUCUUGCUGUCACUUAUAGAUGGAUCCGCGCUGCAUUAGCUAGUUGGUAAGGUAACGGCUUACCAAGGCAACGAUGCAUAGCCGACCUGAGAGGGUGAUCGGCCACACUGGAACUGAGACACGGUCCAGACUCCUACGGGAGGAAGCAGUAGGGAAUCUUCCGCAAUGGGCGAAAGCCUGACGGAGCAACGCCGCGUGAGUGAUGAAGGUCUGCGGAUCGUAAAACUCUGUUAUUAGGGAAGAACAUAUGUGUAAGUAACUGUGCACAUCUUGACGGUACCUAAUCAGAAAGCCACGGCUAACUACGU